UACGUAGGGGGCGAGCGUUAUCCGGAUUUAUUGGGCGUAAAGCGUGUGUAGGCGGUUUAUUAAGUUUAAGAUUAAAGCCCGAGGCUUAACCUCGGUUCGUCUUAAAUACUGGUAGACUUGAGUAUGGUAGAGGCAAAUGGAAUUUCUAGUGUAGCGGUUAAAUGCGUAGAUAUUAGAAGGAACAUCAGUGGCGAAGGCGAUUUGCUGGGCCAUUACUGACGCUGAGACACGAAAGCGUGGGGAGCAAAUAGG
rnacentral:rRNA from 1 species